rnacentral:rRNA from 1 species
AACGAACGCUGGCGGCAUGCCUAACACAUGCAAGUCGAACGAGACCUUCGGGUCUAGUGGCGCACGGGUGCGUAACGCGUGGGAACCUGCCCUUAGGUUCGGAAUAACUCCCCGAAAGGGGUGCUAAUACCGGAUAAUGUCUUCGGACCAAAGAUUUAUCGCCUUUGGAUGGGCCCGCGUUGGAUUAGCUAGUUGGUAGGGUAAAAGCCUACCAAGGCGACGAUCCAUAGCUGGUCUGAGAGGAUGAUCAGCCACACUGGGACUGAGACACGGCCCAGACUCCUACGGGAGGCAGCAGUGGGGAAUAUUGGACAAUGGGCGAAAGCCUGAUACAGCAAUGCCGCGUGAGUGAUGAAGGCCUUAGGGUUGUAAAGCUCUUUUACCCGGGAUGAUAAUGACAGUAACGGGAGAAUAAGCACCGGCUAACUCCGUG